GAAUUCGAUUCAGGCCUAACACAUGCAAGUCGAACGGUAACGCGGGGCAACCUGGCGACGAGUGGCGAACGGGUGAGUAAUGCAUCGGAACGUGCCCAGUAGUGGGGGAUAGCCCGGCGAAAGCCGGAUUAAUACCGCAUACGACCUACGGGUGAAAGGGGGGGAUCGCAAGACCUCUCGCUAUUGGAGCGGCCGAUGUCAGAUUAGGUAGUUGGUGGGGUAAAGGCCUACCAAGCCGACGAUCUGUAGCUGGUCUGAGAGGACGACCAGCCACACUGGGACUGAGACACGGCCCAGACUCCUACGGGAGGCAGCAGUGGGGAAUUUUGGACAAUGGGCGCAAGCCUGAUCCAGCCAAAGCGCAUGCGGGAAGAAGGCCUUCGGGUGUAAACCUUAAUGGCAGGGAAGAAAUCUUCUGAGUUAAUACCUCGGGAGG
rnacentral:rRNA from 1 species